AUUGAACGCUGGCGGCAUGCUUUACACAUGCAAGUCGAACGGCAGCGCGGGCUUCGGCCUGGCGGCGAGUGGCGAACGGGUGAGUAAUGCAUCGGAACGUGCCCAGUAGUGGGGGAUAGCCCGGCGAAAGCCGGAUUAAUACCGCAUACGACCUGAGGGUGAAAGCGGGGGACCGAAAGGCCUCGCGCUAUUGGAGCGGCCGAUGUCGGAUUAGCUAGUUGGUGGGGUAAAGCCUUACCAAGGCGACGAUCCGUAGCUGGUCUGAGAGGACGACCAGCCACACUGGGACUGAGACACGGCCCAGACUCCUACGGGAGGCAGCAGUGGGGAAUUUUGGACAAUGGGGGCAACCCUGAUCCAGCCAUGCCGCGUGCGGGAAGAAGGCCUUCGGGUUGUAAACCGCUUUUGUUCGGGAAGAAAUCCUCUGGGCUAAUACCCCGGGGGGAUGACGGUACCGGAAGAAUAAGCACCGGCUAACUACGUG
rnacentral:rRNA from 1 species